UACGUAGGGGGCAAGCGUUGUCCGGAAUCAUUGGGCGUAAAGCGCGCGUAGGCGGCCCGGUAAGUCCGCUGUGAAAGUCAAAGGCUCAACCUUUGAACGCCGAUGGAUACUGCCGGGCUAGAGUCCGGAAGAGGCGAGUGGAAUUCCUGGUGUAGCGGUGGAAUGCGCAGAUAUCAGGAGGAACACCGAUGGCGAAGGCAGGUCUCUGGGCCAUAACUGACGCUGAGAAGCGAAAGCAUGGGGAGCGAACAGG
rnacentral:rRNA from 1 species